GAUGAACGCUGGCGGCGUGCUUAACACAUGCAAGUCGAACGGCAAGGCACCAGCUUGCUGCGCUACUCGAGUGGCGAACGGGUGAGUAACACGAAGGUGAUCUGCUCUGCACUUCGGGAUAAGCUUGCGAAACUGGGCCUACUACCGGACAGGACGCUGGCUUGGAUGCAAAUGUGGAGAGUUUCUUCGGUGUGGGAUGGGCGUGGGGCCUAUUCGCUUGUUGGAGGUGUAGUGGCCUACGAAGGCAUCGACGGGUAGCCGGCCUUAGAGGGGGUACAGGGACAUGAGGCCUGCGGGACGGCGCAGACGCGUACGGGAGACAGCAGUGGCGAAUAUGACACAAUGGUAGCAAGCCUGAUGCGGAGGCGUUGCGUGUGGGAAGACGGCCUGCGGGGUGUGAAAUGCAGUCGCUAGAGACGAAGCGGAAGUGACGGUACCUGGAGAAGAAGCACCGGCUAACUACGUG
rnacentral:rRNA from 1 species